AGCUGGCCCAUGAGCCUCCCAUCCUGGGGGUAGGCCAGGCCAGCAAGGUCACCAUGGCAACUGGGGCCUCAGGGCUCCAGGGCCAAGCCUGGGCCAGAAGGAAAAAGAAUGCCAGGGCUGGAAAGGCCCGGAGAUUAAAGAAUGUCAGCGCUCCAAAAGGCUGUAGAAGGAGAAUGGCAGAGCGGAGAGAUCUCACAAUGUGGAAGGGGAAGAGCACCGGACCUUGGAGACAGCCCAAUCCAAAUCUCUUCUUUUACAGGCCGGUCAUUCAUUCCCCGCUCUUCAAAAGCCCUGGGUGCCUCGCAGGCCUCUGCUCUCCCUUCCCCAUCGUGACUGUGUCCUUGACUGGGAGGCCACUAUGAAGAGCCCCUCUCCAAUAUGGAAUGUGGUCCCGUGACUACCUCGGGGUUAAUACACAAUAAAUAUGUAUUAUGACAAGCUUCCUAAGGGCAUCUGAUAACAAGGAGCCAUUUUAUUAACAAGAAGCAUUUUUCAUUUAUCUGUCCCCUUUUAAUCAAGUGCUCAAAGCACUUUACAGACAUCCGAGCACCCGAUGUUAUUAAUAAAUACUGUUUGUUGACGGUGAUGGGAUGCCUUUUAACUGAUGGGCAAACUGUGACACA